GGGGGGGGGCUGCCCACACAAACCCUCAACCCCGACCCGAAAACACACACGGAGAGAGAGACAACACGCUCCUCCUGAGGCACCAUCAGUGGUGGAGCUGGAGGCUUCUUGUCCCCUGUGGGUGAAAGAGUCGGCCAACAGGGGGUGACCCCAGGCAGCCCACUGGAUUAGAAAGAAAGAAGCAAAAGGCCUCUUGUGAGACAGCAGCCGGGGAACCGCUCAUCCCAGGUCAGGGAAAUGUGCCGACCUGCUGCCAGCAGGCAGGAUUGCCCCAACCAUCAUGGUCGGACCUGCCGCGGGACCUGUGAACCGACGUCUCAAGAAGCACCGAGAGGAGUUAUUUAAAAGUGCUCCUCUCCAGCCGGUGCUCGUGUUACCUCACUGGGAAUAAUACUUAUGCUCGUGGCCCCUGACUGACAGGAGCUGCUGGUCCACUGGUCUACGGUUCAAUGAGUAAUCGCGGUGAGGGGGGGAGUUUUGGGUCCCUCUUGGUUGUUUCCUUUGCAGAUGUAAAUCAUUAAAAUACGUUUCAUAGCAUCCAAAACACUUCACUAACUAGCUCAUUAAGUGGGAUCCACGGUGUCUUUUAUACAUGUAGACGGAUCUCCUGGGAGCUACGAACGCGCUGGCCUCUGCUGACGGAGCAGUGUUCCUGGCUCCAACUCUUUGGACACGUAUUCUACAACACCAGAGGUCAUUUGAUAGCACAGCUCCCACAACUAAAAAUAGAUCGGGAGAUUUCUGGGGUUUUUGUUUUGACUUCAACCCUUGGAACUGGUUUCAUUAACCUCUUUUUGGAACUCAGUAAACACAUGUGGAAAGAAAUCUAACCAUCACCUUUUGUCUCUGCUGGUUACACGUGGCAUCUGUAAAAUGACCAAGCGAGGAAAUAGUGUAAUUAUUUCUACAAUACUACCCAUUAUUUAACAUAGAUGUCCUAAGAACAACAACACAUACAAUACUGAAGUAUUGUCCCAGUAAAUAAUAAAAAACAUGAAUAUUUGUUGAUGAAUAUUAUAAUUGUAGUGAACGGCAGGCCAGACGAUAAAAGACAGUUUCAUAGAUCAGUUGUUUGGGUUGAAACUGUGUUCAAUAAUCAGCAUUGGCUAAGUAGGAGGACAGAAGAUAAGAGUAAACGAGGAACCUGACAUCGGGUAGUCAAAACAUUCUCUCCGUAUCCUUCUUCAUUUCACAUUAUCUUUACUAUUUAUUUUGGUACAAAAGCUCUCACUUUUGUUUUUUUAGUUGUUAUGGCUAUUUUAACCGCUUAUUUUGAUACAGAAAUAUUUGACAAAUGUUUGUCAAGUUCAGGAGUUACUUUUGUGGUGCACAUACCACUAUCUGCCCCACUGCAGGCCUGGUGGCGUGGCGCUCUGCCACUGAUUGGGAUCUCAUUGUCAAAGGUAAAUCCUGCCCUCUGCUGGUGUGGAAAGACAAAGGCUUCUAUCGGAUUAAGAACACUGCAACCAAAGAAUGGCCGCCACCACUUUUGAUUUAGGUUUACGUUCAAAUGAGUAAUCUCUCCCAACUUCUUUGAAUGUUUUCAUCUUUCCUUAACGAACUGAAUCGGUGAGGGUGCUCGUGCAAAGGUCUAUCGCGGCUAAUAAAUAAAGACCUCAAGAAAUACUAAA